rnacentral:lncRNA from 1 species
CUUGAAAAGUCUCUCGAAACAGAAAAAAUAAAGCUAGAAGAAUUAAAGACUAUUCCAGCAAAAAGUGAAGCUGAAAUUGAACAAUGCACUUCUUCUUUGAAGCAACUAGAGAUUCAAAAACAACUUGAAGAAAAUGUGCUCACUGAAAUAAUGGCUGGUUU